rnacentral:rRNA from 1 species
GACGAACGCUGGCGGCGUGCUUAACACAUGCAAGUCGAACGGAAAGGCCUUUUCGGAGGUACUCGAGUGGCGAACGGGUGAGUAACACGUGGGUGAUCUGCCCUGCACUCUGGGAUAAGCCUGGGAAACUGGGUCUAAUACCGGAUAGGACCGCACUUUAGUGUGUGUGGUGGAAAGUUUUUUCGGUGUAGGAUGAGCCCGCGGCCUAUCAGCUUGUUGGUGGGGUAAUGGCCUACCAAGGCGGCGACGGGUAGCCGGACUGAGAGGUUGGUCGGCCACAAUGGGACUGAGAUACGGCCCAGACUCCUACGGGGGGCAGCAGUGGGGAAUAUUGCACAAUGGGCGCAAGCCUGAUGCAGCGACGCCGCGUGGGGGAUGACGGCCUUCGGGUUGUAAACUCCUUUCGCCAGGGACGAAGCGUUUUGUGACGGUACCUGGAGAAGAAGCACCGGCUAACUACGUG